rnacentral:rRNA from 1 species
CGAAGGGGGCUAGCGUUGCUCGGAAUCACUGGGCGUAAAGGGUGCGUAGGCGGCCAACUAAGUCAAACGUGAAAUCCCUCGGCUUAACCGGGGAACUGCGCUUGAUACUGGAUGGCUUGAGAUUGGGAGAGGGAUGCGGAAUUCCAGGUGUAGCGGUGAAAUGCGUAGAUAUCUGGAGGAACACCGGUGGCGAAGGCGGCAUCCUGGACCAACACUGACGCUGAGUGAGCGAAAGCCAGGGGAGCAAACGGGAUUAGAUACCCCGGUAGUCCUGGCCCUAAACGAUGAAUGCUUGGUGUGGCGGGUAUCGAUCCCUGCCGUACCGAAGCUAACGCAUUAAGCAUUCCGCCUGGGGAGUACGGUCGCAAGGCUG